rnacentral:rRNA from 1 species
GAUGAACGCUGGCGGCGUGCCUAAUACAUGCCAGUCGAGCGAACAGAUGAGGAGCUUGCUCCUCUGACGUUAGCGGCGGACGGGUGAGUAAUACGUGGAUAACCUACCUAUAAGACUGGGAUAACUUCGGGAAACCGGAGCUAAUACCGGAUAAUAUAUUGAACCGCAUGGUUCAAUAGUGAAAGACGGUUUUGCUGUCACUUAUAGAUGGAUCCGCGCCGCAUUAGCUAGUUGGUAAGGUAACGGCUUACCAAGGCGACGAUGCGUAGCCGACCUGAGAGGGUGAUCGGCCACACUGGAACUGAGACACGGUCCAGACUCCUACGGGAGGCAGCAGUAGGGAAUCUUCCGCAAUGGGCGAAAGCCUGACGGAGCAACGCCGCGUGAGUGAUGAAGGUCUUCGGAUCGUAAAACUCUGUUAUUAGGGAAGAACAAAUGUGUAAGUAACUAUGCACGUCUUGACGGUACCUAAUCAGAAAGCCACGGCUAACUACGUG